rnacentral:rRNA from 1 species
GAGUUUGAUCCUGGCUCAGAACGAACGCUGGCGGCAUGGCUAAGACAUGCAAGUCGCACGGACCGUGUAGCAAUAUACGGUUAGUGGCGAAAGGGAGAGUAAUGAAUAGGUAAUGUACCUUGGACACAGGGAUAACGCCGGGGGGUAACCCCCUUUACGAAAGUGGCGCUAAUACCUGGUGAAGUCACGAUGGGGCAUCCUGUUGUGACCAGAGGGCGGGGAUCGUAAGACCUGCCGGUCUGAGAGCAGCCUAUUUCCUAUCACCUAGUUGGUGAGGUAACGGCUCACCAAGGGAUCGACGGGUAGCGGGUGUGAGAGCACGAUCCGCCUCAUCGGGACUGAGACACUGCCCGGACACCUACGGGUGGCUGCAGUAACGAAUAUUGGGCAAUGGGCGCAAGCCUGACCCAGCAAUGCCGCGUGUGGGAGGAAGUCCCUCGGGAUGUAAACCACUUUUAGGGGUGGACAAGCGAUGCGGGUGAACAAUCCGCAAAGUUGAGUUGCCCCAGAAAAAGCCACGGCUAACUCUGUGCCAGCAGCCGCGGUAAGACAGAGGUGGCGAGCGUUGUUCGGAAUCAUUGGGCUUAAAGCGUGUGCAGGCGGCGGCGUAAGUGUCGAGUGAAAGCCUGCGGCUCAACCGCAGAACGGCUCGGCAUACUGCGUCGCUUGAGGUCGGUAGAGGUGCUUGGAACUCUAGGUGGAGCGGUGAAAUGCGUAGAUAUCUAGAGGAACGCCUGAGGCGAAAGCGGAGCACUGGGCCGAUUCUGACGCUGAGACACGAAAGCGUGGGGAGCAAACAGGAUUAGAUACCCUGGUAGUCCACGCCGUAAACGAUGCACACUAGAUGACGGGUUCUCUGAUGUUCCCGCCGUCGUAGCAAAAGUGCUAAGUGUGCCGCCUGGGGAGUACGGCCGCAAGGCUAAAACUCAAAGGAAUUGACGGGGGCUCACACAAGCGGUGGAGCAUGUGGCUUAAUUCGAAGCAACGCGAAGAACCUUACCCGGGUUUGACAUGCUUGGAUGUUUUCCGGCGAUGAGUUGGAAAAUUACCCGCAAGGGUGAAACAAGCACAGGUGUUGCACGGCUGUCGUCAGCUCGUGCUGUGAAGUGUCGGGUUAAGUCCCUUAACGAGCGAAACCCUUGCCGUCAGUUACCAUCAGGUAAUGCUGGGGACUCUGGCGGGACUGCCGGCGUUAAGCCGGAGGAAGGUGGGGAUGACGUCAAGUCAUCGUGGCCCUUAUGCCCGGGGAUGCACACGUGCUACAAUGGCGACGACAAAGGGCUGCAAGACCGUAAGGUGGAGCAAAUCCCAAAAAAGUCGCCCCAGUUCGGAUUGGAGGCUGCAAUUCGCCUCCAUGAAGUUGGAAUCGCUAGUAAUCGCGCAUCAGUACGGCGCGGUGAUGUGUUCCUGAGCUUGUACACAC